rnacentral:rRNA from 1 species
GAUGAACGCUGGCGGCGUGCCUAACACAUGCAAGUCGAACGAAGAGGCCCCUUCGGGGGUACUUCAGUGGCGGACGGGUGAGUAACACGUAGGUGACCUGCCCCGAAGUGUGGAAUAACAGUCCGAAAGGAUUGCUAAUACCGCAUGUGGUCUGUGAGGUUAGAGUCUGGCAGACUAAAGCAGUAAUGUGCUUCGGGAGGGGCCUGCGUCCCAUCAGCUAGUUGGUAGGGUAAUGGCCUACCAAGGCUUCGACGGGUAGGGGACCUGAGAGGGUGACCCCCCACACUGGCACUGAAACACGGGCCAGACACCUACGGGAGGCAG